UACAGAGGGUGCGAGCGUUAAUCGGAAUUACUGGGCGUAAAGCGCGCGUAGGCGGCUUUGCAAGUCGGGUGUGAAAUCCCCAGGCUUAACCUGGGAACUGCAUUCGAGACUGCAUUGCUAGAGUAUGGGAGAGGGAAGUGGAAUUUCCGGUGUAGCGGUGAAAUGCGUAGAUAUCGGGAGGAACACCAGCGGCGAAGGCGGCACUCUGGGCUGGAACUGACGCUGAGGAGCGAAAGCGUGGGUAGCAAACAGG
rnacentral:rRNA from 1 species